GAUGAACGCUGGCGGCGUGCCUAAUACAUGCAAGUCGAGCGAAUGGAUUAAGAGCUUGCUCCGGUGGAUUAGUGGCGAACGGGUGAGUAACACGUGAGUAACCUGCCCUUGACUCUGGGAUAACUGCGGGAAACUGUAGCUAAUACCGGAUACGACCCUCGGCGGCAUCGCCAGGGGGUGGAAAGAAUUUCGGUCAAGGAUGGACUCGCGGCCUAUCAGCUAGUUGGUGAGGUAACGGCUCACCAAGGCGACGACGGGUAGCCGGCCUGAGAGGGUGACCGGCCACACUGGGACUGAGACACGGCCCAGAAUCCUACGGGAGGCAGCAGUGGGGAAUAUUGCACAAUGGGCGCAAGCCUGAUGCAGCAACGCCGCGUGAGGGAUGACGGCCUUCGGGUUGUAAACCUCUUUUAGUAGGGAAGAAGCGAAAGUGACGGUACCUGCAGAAAAAGCACCGGCUAACUACGUGCCAGCCGCCGCUGUAA
rnacentral:rRNA from 1 species